UAUAUAUAAUAUAUAUGAUAUUAGCUUCUUCCCUGUUAUAAGUUGCAGCAACACCAGCAUGAAUAAACCUGAAAGUAGAGGAACCAAAGCCAACCAGCCUCCUCCUGGCUAUCCAACUGAAGCUUCUGCAAAGAAAAAGAAGAAAUGCUGUCAACGAAGCAAGAAGAGAGGGGAGAAAGGGUUCAUUGAAGGAUGUCUUGCUGCACUUUGUUGCUGCUGGCUUUGCGAGGAAUGCUGCUUCUGAGACUAUUAGUAAUAUCUAUAUAUAUGUAUGAAGCUACGAUGACAGCUUAUUUGCAAUAUGUGAUAUGUAAUUGCUAGUUUGUGUUCUUAUUAUAGAUGUUGCAAAUCCUACUUCAAUCUAGAUAUGGAUUAUGCUUCUAAUUCGACUGGGUGCAGUUUGCUUGAGAGCAGUUAUACACAUUUGGUCAUAUAUUUUUGGGGUAUUUACAUACAUACCACCCAAUUCCUAUGUAUUUACAUAUCUAACACCCCUACUUUUCAU